rnacentral:rRNA from 1 species
UACAGAGGUCCCGAGCGUUGUUCGGAUUCACUGGGCGUAAAGGGUGCGUAGGUGGUGACGUAAGUCGGAUGUGAAAUCUCGGAGCUUAACUCCGAAACGGCAUUGGAAACUGCGUUGCUAGAGGGUUGGAGGGGGGACUGGAAUGCUUGGUGUAGCAGUGAAAUGCGUAGAUAUCAAGCGGAACACCAGUGGCGAAGGCGAGUCCCUGGACAACACCUGACACUGAGGCACGAAAGCUAGGGGAGCAAACAGG